ensembl:snoRNA SNORA70 Small nucleolar RNA SNORA70
CUGAAUUCUUUAAACACCCUAUCUCCUCCUUUCCUCACGGGGGCCUCGUGUGCAAUGGCUGCAAACAGCAGCCUCCUUGAUAGUUGCUUGCCUAUUGCUUGUAUAGGUUGCUCUAAGGGACCUUGGAGACAUUC